AGUUUUUAUAUUUUUAAGACAGUUUAUUAUUAUGUGGCCAAUGAACCAGCAGGUGGCACUACACAACAAUUUUACACAGGCAAAAAUAAGUUCCCUUAGGGCGAAAAAGAUGAUGUUUUCUCAAAUGGGACCUUUGGAAGGAUAUGGACCUGUACAACAUGCACGCCUACCGGGGAAAAAGGACUGAAAAUAGUUGUUCGAAUAGGAUGCCCUUCACCCCGAAUGUGAUCAACACUACUCUGACAAUUUACACAAACAAGAAGUGACCACUUUAAAGAUGGAAUGCCAAGAACAAUACAAUAAAUGCUAAAGAGAAAGAGUGACAAAAGUGAGCAACUACAGAUAAUGCAGUCAUGGAACCAGAAAAAGAGGUACAUGACUUUCUUUCUACUUGAGAAAUAGAAAUAAAAUCCUAAGUCCCCAAUCUGACUCAACACACCCCCUCCUGGCCAAGGAGACCCCAGGGAAACCUUAAAAACUCAAUUCCCAGCUAUGACCAGAGAGAUUUGCAGCCUUACAUCAGGGGAAGGAUUUUGGCAGGUGUCUGAAAAUGUGUCUCGAAACAUCUCUGUAGACAAGACUGAGAAAGAGACAAUCUAUGAAAAUCUUCCAGAACUACUAUUUCCAGAAAGACACUCUG